rnacentral:rRNA from 1 species
UACGUAGGGGGCAAGCGUUGUCCGGAUUUAUUGGGCGUAAAGAGCGUGUAGGCGGUUCGGUAGGUCCGUUGUGAAAACUCGAGGCUCAACCUCGAGACGCCGAUGGAAACCCCCGAACUAGAGUCCGGAAGAGGAGAAUGGAAUUCCUGGUGUAGCGGUGAAAUGCGCAGAUAUCAGGAAGAACACCCGUGGCUAAGGCGGUUCUCUAGUACGGUACUGACGCUGAGACGCGGAAGCGUGGGGAGCGAACAGG